CUUCCUGCUCCAUCCACGGCUGCUCCAGCCACGGCACCCGAGGCUGCAGCCUGGGACUCGCGGCGUCGCUGUCGAACCGCAGGAUCUCCGAGUCGUCCACGUAGAUGACGACGAUGUACCGGUACUGUCCGCGGCCGGGAAGUGUCCUGCUCUCUGUACCUGAUGUCACUUGAACUUGGUGUGAUCACCUUAACCCUGCACCUGUUACCCCUUUUACAUCAUGGAGACAGUUGUGUUGUGCUGACUGACCACCUGCUGCUUCCUAGGAAUGAUUUACAGGAAACUCCUAUUGAUGCUGCUGCUUUAAGUUGGUUACAGAGGGAUGUUAUCUGAGAGAUGACCAGGGACAUUAGCGAGCAGAACAUCCACUAACUUCCAUGGUGGACAUAAGUGAGAGCUCUCAUCGACUGGAGGUAAAAUCUGCCCAGCAAGCUGAACUCAGUGCUCUAACUCAGGUUUAUUACCUGGAGGAAGAUCAUGGUUCUGAAUGAUGGUUGUUUGCAGUGCAGUUGUGAUUCUGAUGUAGCUGUAGGGUCAUGAAAGCACUCCAUUUAUCUUCAUAGCCAUCUUGACUGGAAACCAAGAUUUUUAAAACUGUUGAUUCAAGGAAGAUGAUUUAGUAAAAGUAAUAUUUUUCAAUCCUUCAACCA